rnacentral:rRNA from 1 species
GCUUAGCCCUAAACACAGGAUAAUUACAUAAACAAAUUAUUUGCCAGAGUACUACCAGGCAACAGCUUAAAACUCAAAGGACUUGGCGGUGCUUUAUAUCCUUC